rnacentral:rRNA from 1 species
UGAGGGAUAUUGGGCAAUGGGCGCAAGCCUGACCCAGCGACGCCGCGUGGAGGACGACGGGCUUCGGCUCGUAAACUCCUUUUCCCGGGGACGAGACAAGGACGGUACCCGGGGAAUAAGUCUCGGCUAACUACGUGCCAGCAGCCGCGGUAAUACGAAGGGGGCUAGCGUUGUUCGGAAUUACUGGGCGUAAAGGGAGCGUAGGCGGCCUGUUUAGUCAGAAGUGAAAGCCCCGGGCUCAACCUGGGAAUAGCUUUUGAUACUGGCAGGCUUGAGUUCCGGAGAGGAUGGUGGAAUUCCCAGUGUAGAGGUGAAGUUCGUAGAUAUUGGGAAGAACACCGGUGGCGAAGGCGGCCAUCUGGACGGACACUGACGCUGAGGCGCGAAAGCGUGGGGAGCAAACA